GAGUUUGAUCCUGGCUCAGCGCGAACGUUGGCGGCGUGCCUAACACAUGCAAGUCGUGGGGCAGCAGGCUACUGUCUUUUGGCAGUAGUGCUGGCGACCGGCAAACGGGUGAGUAACACGUAGCUUACCUACCCAUAGGUUAGGGAUAACAUCCCGAAAGGGGUGCUAAUACCCAAUAAUGAGGAGACUCCAAAGCCCUUAUGGGUGCCUAUGGAUGGGGCUGCGUCCCAUCAGCUUGUUGGUGAGGUAAUGGCUCACCAAGGCUACGACGGGUAACCGGUCUGAGAGGAUGACCGGUCACAGUGGGACUGAGACACGGCCCGCACCCCUACGGGGGGCAGCAGUGGGGAAUAUUGGGCAAUGGCCGAAAGGCUGACCCAGCAACGCCGCGUGGUGGAUGAAGCCCUUCGGGGUGUAAACACCUUUUCUGGGGGAAGAUAAUGACGGUACCCCAGGAAUAAGGGACGGCUAACUACGUGCCAGCAGCCGCGGUAAUACGUAGGUCCCGAACGUUGCGCGAAUUUACUGGGCGUAAAGGGUCCGUAGGCGGUUUAGCAAGUGGUUGGUGAAAUUUCACGGCUCAACCGUGAAACUGCCUUCCAAACUGCUAAACUUGAGGCAGGGAGAGNUCGGCGGAAUUCCCGGUGUAGCGGUGAAAUGCGU
rnacentral:rRNA from 1 species